GACGAACGCUGGCGGCGUGCUUAACACAUGCAAGUCGAACGAAGAGCGAUGGAAGCUUGCUUCCAUCAAUCUUAGUGGCGAACGGGUGAGUAACGCGUAAUCAACCUGCCCUUCAGAGGGGGACAACAGUUGGAAACGACUGCUAAUACCGCAUACGAUCUGACCUCGGCAUCGAGGAUAGAUGAAAGGUGGCCUCUACAUGUAAGCUAUCACUGAAGGAGGGGAUUGCGUCUGAUUAGCUAGUUGGAGGGGUAACGGCCCACCAAGGCGAUGAUCAGUAGCCGGGCUGAGAGGAUGAACGGCCACAUUGGGACUGAGACACGGCCCAGACUCCUACGGGAGGCAGCAGUGGGGAAUCUUCCGCAAUGGACGAAAGUCUGACGGAGCAACGCCGCGGGAGUGAUGACGGCCUUCGGGUUGUAAAGCUCUGUUAAUCGGGACGAAAGGCCUUUUUGCGAAUAGGGAGAAGGAUUGACGGUACCGGAAUAGAAAGCCACGGCUAACUACGUG
rnacentral:rRNA from 1 species